UACAGAGGGUGCGAGCGUUGUCCGGAAUCACUGGGCGUAAAGGGCGCGUAGGUGGCACGACAAGUCAGUGGUGAAAGCUCGACGCUCAACGUCGAGUCGGCCACUGAUACUGUUGAGCUGGAGCACUGUAGAGGCAGAUGGAGUUCCGGGUGUAGCGGUGGAAUGCGUAGAGAUCCGGAAGAACACCGGUGGCGAAGGCGGUCUGCUGGGCAGUAGCUGACACUGAGGCGCGACAGCGUGGGGAGCAAACAGG
rnacentral:rRNA from 1 species